GACAAGGAGGGACAUGGAGACAGGAUGUGGGACAUGGAGACAGGAUGACGGACAUGGAGGGACAAGGAGACAGGAUGACGGACAUGGAGGGACAUGGAGACAGGAUGAGGGACAUGGAGACAAGAUGUGGGACAUGGAGGGACAUGGAGACAGGAUGUGGGACAUGGAGACAGGAUUAGGGACAAGG